UUAAAUUUUCUAGUAGCCACAGUAAGAAAAGUAAAAAAAAGAUGAAAUUAAUUUUAAUAAUAUAUUUUAUAUAAUUCAAUAUAUCAAAAUAUUAUCAUUUCAGCAUGUGGCACUAGUAACAUUUUAGGUGCUCAGUAGCCACAUGUAGCCAGUGGCUAGACUAUUUGACAGAAUAGCUCCAACUGAUAGGGAGGCAGGGAAAAUGAGUAUACAGACUUUUAGUUUCCAUAGUGAGAAGUAGGUUCUGCUUCAUGAGGAGAGCGUUUUCCCAAACACAUGAAGAGGGCUCAGAUACAGUCUUGCAAAUGAAAAAUAAGGUCAAAGGAAAAUCAAGACUGGGUUGUAGAAAAUGGGAGAUGGUAAACUAAGAACUUUUGUCAUUAAUUUUAUGGUAUAGUGAUUGGGAACCAUUGAAGAUUUCUAAACUGAGGAAUUACUUUGAAAGAUUUAAGAGAAGUAUUGUGCAGAGGUAGGUAUAAGUCUACGAAUGCCAGAAUUGGAAUUAGAAGUCCUAAAGAGCCCUGGUAACGCAGUGGUUAAGCACUUGGUGAAAGAAAGACCUGGCGACCUGCACCCAUGAGGAUUACAGCCUAGGAACCUCUAUAGAGCCGAUCUACUUUGUCCAAUGGGGGGUUGUUUUGAGUUGGAAUCAACACAAUGGCACACCACAACGGCAACAGGUUUUAGUUAAGCAACAGGUAGUGCAAUGGUUCAGUGCUCGGCUGCUAACCAAAAGAUCAGCAGUUCAGUUCGAACCUACCAGCUAUUCCUCAAGAGAAAAGACCUGGUGAUCUGUUCCUACGAAAAUUACAGCCUAGGAAGCCCUAUGGGGCAGUUCUACACUGUUUUAUGGGGUCCCUAAGAGUUGGAAUUGACUUGAUGGCAAAUAACAACAGGUUUUAAUUAUGCUUCCUCUCCGAGCAGCCUUAGGCAGUGGUUUCUCUGGAUUUCUUAUUUUCAGAAAUGAGGAUGAUAAUAUCUAUCUCUCAGGCUUGUUGUGAAGAUUUAAUAAAAUAGUGUGUGGGAAAUGCCUUGCACCUGGUAGGUGCUCCAUAAGUAUUACUUAAAUCUGAAUGAAUCGGAGUAUCUGGUUAGAGGGUUAGACAAACAGCAAGGAGUUUGGACUAUUUCCCAAAAGCCAAGAAGAACAUUCUAGGAUAAAAAGUAAAAAAAUAUGCAUUCCAGAUAUCUCAACUCUACUUCAGCUUGGACAAGUUAAAAUGUAUAGGCUGUUUCCUAAGUAGCUCAUUUCUUCUCUGAAGACUUUACUAGUCAUCCCUGGCUAGAGAUGAUCUCUCCUUCCAUGGCUAUAUGGAGAAAAACCUAAGUUCCACUUUUCAUACCAAAUUGUAAAGGUCAAUCAAAUCCAUGCAAUCUAUCAUCUGUUCUGUUCCCUUCUGUUCCAUUUCAGUUCUGAACCAGCUGCACAUGAAGCGCUUCUUCCUUUGACCCUAGCCGCCUGAAGCUAGGUCAGAUCUCACAAGUUAAAGGACACAGUCCUCUAGACUGCCAACUCUGCCCAAGACUUCAGAUGCCAGUCACAACCUCGGAGGUCCCCAGGGCUCCCCUCACUUCUGACCUGCUGGCUACAAAUUUAGGGGCUCCCUCUACCCCACGAGGAUACCAGUUUGCCCUAACCUAAACUGGGAGCAUCCAAAAAACAAGAUCAGCAAAAUUCGAUAAUUUUAGAAGCUGAACGAGAACCCAGCCUAAGACACCCACAGAGUCAUAAAAUCGGACAUGCACAGCAACACUCCAUCGUUAAAUGGAAGUGGUAUAUAGGAGAUUGGGCCCAAGCAGGACCUGAAGGCACAAGACCCUAUGCUCUGCAGGUCUAGAGGUCUUAGUUCCAGGGGAACCACCUGGAAACACAGCACUUUUCCAAUUGAACUGGAAGUUAAGAAUGCCAGCCAGCCAGCCACUUUGGGCUCCUUAUGCCUCUGGAUCAACAGGCAAAGAAAUCCUGCAUCUGGCUCAUCAUCAUCUGACCUCUGGGUCUUGGGACUUGAGCUAGCAGCUUACCUGCUGAUAUUUGGAUCCAUCAGCGUCUGUAGCCUGUAAGCCAGCAGCCUGCCAUCUUACCUGCUGAUCUUCGGUUCGUCAGCCCCUGCAGCUACAUGAGUCAGAGGAAGCCUUCAGCCUGAUGCCUGACCCAUGGACUUGGGACUUGCUAGCCUCUACAACUGCGUGGGACAUUUCUUUAAGAUAAACCUCUCUCUCUCUUUCUAUAUAUCUAUAUCUAUAUAUAUCUCUAUCUCUGUCUAUCUAUAUUUACACUUCACUGUUUUUGCUUCUCUAGAGAACCCAGUCUAAGACGUUGUCAAUCUAUAAGUGGAUAGGUAUUUGCUUCUGGGCAUCUUUUCAAUUGAUAAAAAGAGUAAAUAAGAAAAAUACAGUAUAUGGCUGAAUUUAAAACCAUCGACUUACAAAGUACAUGGAUUAAUAUAGGCUUAAUUUUCUCAGGAUAUCCUUGGCAUGGUUUAAAAACACCAGAAGGAUUAACUAUAUGGAAUAAGCAAACCAAUAAUAACAAUAAUGAUUAUAAUUUACUGAGCUCCUACUCUGCAUCAGACGUGGUGCUGAGUAUUUUACAUAUGUUUCUCUUAUCCUCACAACCACCCUGUAAGAUGGGCAUAAUGAUUCCUAUUUUAUAGAUCUGAAAGGUGCAGUAAUGAGAGUUUAAAGCAUGUCAUCCAGUGGUGGUGCUAGUUAAGGGGACUCUAGGCUAGUUUCACUGUUCAGAAAUACUUCUUCCCCUCCCUUCCAGUUCUCUGACCUACACCACCCCUUUUCUUUAUGCAUUCAACAAAUGCACCUUUAUUGUUUUUUGCUGAUCAUGGAGGGUUUCCACAUUAUGUCAGUUCGGGAGCUUAAGGAUGGUGCUAUAUUCAGGGGACUCCAGAGAGAAGAUACAUUUUGUAUUUUAUAGUAAAGGCCAUUUAACAAAGAAACCCAAUACCAAUUUCAUAAAUUAAAUUCCUGACACCAACUGAGAUAUCACAGGUACAUGCAAGGAAUAUGUGUACAGAGUGCUAUUUCAAGUGUGGGCUCUUAACAGACCCUUAUUCUCUAUUUUUUAAAAAAACCAAACCCAUUGCCAUCUAGUCGAUUCCAACUUGUAGUGACCCCAUAGGACAGGGUAGAAAUGCCUCAUAGAGUUUCCAAGGAGUGCCUGGUGAAUUUGAGCUGCUGACCUUCUGGUUAGCAGCCGUAGCACUUAACUACUACGCCACCAAGGUUUCCAUUCUCUGUAUUUAGCAGAGCUAAGCCAGAUAGUUUGGGCAUCCUGGGGUAACCCUGGCUGAUUAUAACGUCAGCACAUAUUAUUAUUCCAGGCCUAGUAACAGAGAUGCAGCUCUGACACCCUGCCACUGUGGUCCAACCUCUAGACAGCUCCUGUACACCAUCCAUUAAAAGGUCUGGUUGCCUUUUCUUUCCCUAUCCCAGUGUUCCAGCUUGUUUUCAGUGCGAAGGAGUGAUUUGGUUGGGUGCCAUUCACUUUCUUAAGUAUGUUCUCUUCAGAUUGGUAUCAAAGAUGGCAUGUCCCAACCAAAGUGAACCAUCAGCUUCCUAAGAUCUCUUAUUGGUGAGAUUUGCAGAUACUCCAUCCACACUGCCGUGAGCUGGGCGUCCACGCUUAAAUUCAUUUUUGCUGGAACCACCACAACCCUACUUUAUUUCUCUCUUGGAGACAUUUUUGUUCUGUAUUCAAUCCACAUUUCACACUCCUCCUCAGCAUAUACCCCACCUCCUGUCUCAUGCUACCUGCAAAUAACAUUAGCUUUAGGUAGCUGGCAACAUCCAGAGUGGUCCACAUCCCUCUCUAUCUCUGUCUCUACCAAGGCCAUCCCUCCGGGGUCCUCAAAUGGUCACCACACAAACUGGCUUCUAUUUGGGUCUCCCUUGAGACCUCUGAAAUACCGCCCAAUGGAUCUUCCUUCGCUCUUCACAAGUAAUUCACUUUUGAAAAAUCAUUAUGAGUGGGAGUUUGUAGAUUUACAUGACCCCUCUACGAGCAUAGUGGCCUGGCCUCCGCAUCUCCUUUAGGACGCCUCAGGGAACCAUCAGGAAGUUCACGCUACACCUUGUGUGAGUUUUACAAGAGCAAGCAUGGCCACGUGGAAUAGACUCUACUCAGCAGAAAAAAAGAUUGACUCACCUUGAUUUCUUAAUUAAUUCUGGCACCAAUUCCUAACGCUCUCCAGGGGAAAAAUUUCCUCAGCAGCCAGAGCCUUUUAGAAUGCUAGCAGGAAAUGUACUAUGACUCCAUCUGCACUUAACACCAUUUUAUAUCUAAAGCUUGCAUAAACUUUCAGUGGAAGCUUCUUUUUCUUGGAAAAGAAAACUGCCUUUGUUCUCCAGGGUAUAUUGUUUCUAUUGUAUGUGUAUUUGGGCCUAGGGAUUAUAAUUAAGAUUCUGGUUUAGACAAGAGGGAGAGGAAGUAAAAUAAUCUGUGUUAGGGAUGUCUCAUGAUGCCAGGAGCAGAAUUGUUGUAGUGAUAAGUAAAUUGAGCAGUAAUUAAUCUAUAAAAUGAUUAUGUUCCCAAGAAGAAGGAUAGAGGGCAUUUUGAAGAGUAGGAGAGCAGAGAAGAACUUGUUUGCAGAAAAAAAAGGAAGAAAAAAAAGCAAAGCCGUAUUUCUGCUAGUUUAUUAGUUGAUGUUGAAUUGAUUCUUACUUCUGGCGACCCAAGUGGUCAGAGUAGAACUGUGCUCCAUAGGAUUUUAAAUGGUUGAGUUUUUGAAAGUAAAUCACUGAGCCUUUCUUCUGUGGUGACUCUGGGUGGACUUGAACCCCCAGCCUUUCUGUUAGUAGCUGAGUAUGUUAACCUUUGCGCUACCCAGGGACUUCUCUGUGGGUUUAGUGGUUCUCAAAGUGUGGGCCAUGGAUCAACAUCACCUGGGAUCUUGCUGGAAAUGCAGAUUUUGGGGCUCUACCUUGGACCCUCUGAAUCAGAAACUGGGAGUGGGGUCCAGCAAUCUGUGCUUUAGCAAACCCUAUAGGUGAUUUCGGAUGCAUGCUCAUGUUUGAGAACCACUGAGUUAAAACCUCUUUUUCUGUAAGAAGAAUAUUUGUAUAGGAGAAAGCUGGGGCAAGGAAAUUAAGGGUCAUGUGUUGGCUCGUAUAAACUUGUAUUGCACACGGGGAAACUGAUUCCACCCAGAUCUCCUGGCCAAGGCUGGGGAGAAUGUCCUAGAACAGAGACCCAGGUGCCCCUGCUGGCUCCUUUAGAAUUCAAAAGAAGACUUCACAGCUGAGCUGCCAAAGACUGCAAUCAGACUAAUUAGUCUCUAGGAAUUUCCCAUAAAAACCUGAAGGGCUGAGUUGGAAACCAGUAAGCAAUAGCCCUGGUGAAGUAGGAAAAAGAAAAAAGGACCAACAGUGCUGCUGAAGUACCACAAAAGCCCUUCCUCCCAAGAGGGAAUGAAGGCAGUCUUGUUUCUGUGUAUUAGGCUGUGAAAAGCCAUUCCUUUACUUUGAUGGGAACUGGGCUCAAGAGAGUUUCCCUUCCAGACAGGAGUUGAGGAAAAAACAAAACUGACUGCCAAAUCUAAACUAAAGGCCAAUCCAUAGGCCAGUCAGCCUGCCUGCUUGCACUCCUAUAUCUAUAUAUUCCUUCCUUCUUUUCUAUGUUUCUUCCUUUCCCCAGGGUGGCCAGAAACCUUGGCUCUGAUGAGUCAUUCAGUACUGACCGUGGGGGAUCACCACUGGGCCCAGAACCUGGAGUCAUGUGUAAGCUUUAGCCCACCAUUUUAACCUCUCAUCGCUGAAUUAGAUGAUCUCUAACGUCCCUUCCAGUUCAGAUUUUUCUGUUGAAAAUCAUCUCAUGGUCCAGAGCUUCAUCCCAAAGAGAAAUGCAAUAGGACAGCUAAGAUCCAUCAUCCCUCACCAUUUAUAUUAGUUCAGCAACUGCCCUCUGUCAGGUGUUAUUUUAGACAGAUCAGCUUCUCAGGACUGCCUCAAACCGAUGGCUCAUGUUUCUCUUACUUCCCUGGACUCCCUCAUUCAUGCCUGGAUUUAUGCACUCAACAAGUGCUCACUGAGGUUCGACUUCAUACUAUGCUAGGCCUCGUGCUCCAGAAGUUUUAGGGGGGCCACCGCCUCACAUAUUCUCAUUUCUCCGCUUUUACUUUUGCAGGACCUCUGCCCUCUGCCCAGAACUACCUUUUCUUGUCCAGCUGGUGACUACUUACUUAACCUUCAUAGUUCAUAUCAUAGUUAAAAUGCCAUCUCUGGUUUUCUCUGAUCUCCUUUGAUCCCAAGCAUGUGAAUUGCUUUCUUCUUUAUGUAAUGCUUUCUCAGUAUAUAUGUUGUUGUUGCUAGUUGCCAUUGAGUCGAGUCCUGGAUCAUGGAGACUCCACAUACAAUAGAGCGAAACGUUGCAUGGUCCUGCACCAUCUUCAUGAUCAUUGGUAUGUUUGGGUCCAAUGUUUCGGCUAGUGUGUAGUGCCUUCCAACCUACGGGUCUCAUCUUCUAGCACUAUAUCUGACAAUAUUCUAUUUUGAUCUAUAAGGUUUUCAUUGGCUAAUUUCUUGAAGUAAAUCAUCAGGCCUUUCUUUCUAGUCUGUCUUAGUCUGGAAGCUCUGCUGAAACCUGUCUACCACUGGUGAUGCUGCUGGUAUUGAAAUAUCAGUGGCAUAGCUUCCAGCAUCUUAGUAACAUGCAAACCACCGCAGUAUGACAAACUAACAGAUGGGUAGUAGAUAUAUAAUGUUGUUGUUAGCUGCUGUCAUAUUGGCCCCUGACACAUGGUGACCCUAUGCAAAAUACUACAAAACGCUGCCCAGUCAUGCACCAUCCCUAUGAUUGGUUGUGGAUUGGGCUGUUGUGAUUCAUAGGGUUUUCACUGGCUGACUUUUGGAAGUAGAUCUCCAGGCCUUUCUUCCUAAGGAUAUAUAAUGUAAACCUCUAUUAUAAACACUAUUUUAUUUUAUUCCAUAUGUACAUUUUGUCUUACCCAGAUAGGCUGUGAAAUCCUUAAAGUUAGGAAGCACUGUUUACUUAUUAUGGUAUCCUUAUGCCUAGCACAAAAUUUUUUAUGUCGUACAGCUUCAGUACAGGCAUACCUUGUUUUACUGCAUUUUGCCUCAUUGCACUUCACAAUACUGAGUUUUUUUUUUUUUUACAAAUUGAAGGUUGGUGGUAACCCUUUGUUAAGUCUAUCAAUAUGUGCUCGCUUUGUAUCUCUGUGUCGUAUUUUGGUAAUUUUCACAUUUCAAACUUUUCCAUCAUUAUUGUAACUGUUAUGGUGAUCUGUGAUCAGUGAUCUUUGAUGUUAUUAUUGCAGUUGUUUUGGGGCAUCACAAACCUCACCCUUAUAAGACAGUGAACUUAAUACAUAAAUGUUGUGUGUGUUCUUACUAUUUUACUGGCUGAUCAUUGCCCUAUCUCUCUCCCUCUCCUCAGGCUUCCCGUAUUCCUUGAGACACAACAAUACUGAAAUUAGGCCAGUUAAUAACCCCACAAUGGCCUCUAAGUGUUCAAGUGAAAGGAAGAAUCGCAAGUCUCUCACUUUAAGUAAAAAGCUAGAAAUGAUUAAGGUCAGAGAGGAAGGCAUGUCAAAAGUCGAGAUAGGCUAAAAGCUAGGCCUCUUACACUGAACAGCCAAGCUGUACUGCAAAGCAAGAGUUCUUGAAGAAAGUUAAAAGUGCUACUCUAGUGAACACAUGAAUGAUAAGAGAGUGAAACAACAGCCUUAUUGCUGAUACGGAGAAAGUUUUAGUGGUUUGGUUAGAAGAUCAAGCCAGCCACAACAUUCCCUCAAACCAAAGCCUAAUCCAGAGCAAAGCCCUAACUCUCUUCUAUUCUAUGAAGGCUGAGUGAGGUAAGGAAGCUGCAGAAGAAAAGUUUGAAGCCAGCAGAGGUUGGUUUAUGAGGUUUGAGGAAAGAAGCCAUCUCCAUAACAUAAAAUUGCAAGGUGAAGCAGGAAGUGCUGAUGUAGAAACUGCAGCAAGUUAUCUGGAAGAUCUAGCUGAGAUAACUGAUGAAAACGGCCACACUAAGCAACAGAUUAUCAAUGUAGACAAAACAGCCUCAUAUUGGAAGAAGAUGCCGUCUAGAAAUUUCAUAGCUAGAGAGAAGUCAAUGCCUGACUUUGAAGCUUCAAAAAACAAGAUGACUCUCUUGUUAGGGGCUAAUGGAGCUGGUGCUUUGAGUUGAAGCCAAUGCUCAUUUACUCUUCUGAAAAUUCUAGCGCCUUUAAGAAUUAUGCUAAGUCUACUCUGCCUGUGUUUUAUAAAUGGAACAACAAAGCCUGGAUGACAGCACAUCUGUUUACAACAUGGUUUACUGAAUAUUUUAAGCCCACUUUUGAGGCCUUCUGCUCAGAUAAAAAGAUUCCUUCCAGAAUAUUACUGCUCAUUGACAAUGCAUCUGGUCACCCAAGAGCUCUGAUGGAGAUGUACAAGGAGAUUAGUGUUGUUUUCAUGCCUGCUAACAUCCAUUCUGCAGCCCAUGGAUCAAGGAGUAAGUUUGACUUUCAAGUUUUAUUAUUUAAGAAAUACAUUUCUUAAAGCUAUAGCUGCCAUAGAUAGUGAUUUCUCUGAUGGAUCUGAGCAAAGUAAAUUGAAAACGUUCUGGAAAGGAUUCACCAUUCUAGAUGCCAUUAAAAACAUAUGUGAUUCAUAGGAGGAGGUCAAAAUAUCAACAUUAACAGGAGUUUGGAAGAAGUUGAUUCCAAUGCUCAUGGAUGACUUUGAGGGGUUCAAGACUUUAGUGGAGGAAACAACAGCAGAUGUAGUGGAAAUGUUACCAAUCACCAAUCUGACACAAAGGGUCCUUGUCUCUUCCCAAGUAAGAAUACACACGAAAGAAAAACUUUACGUUCAGCAAGAUUUAUUUUGCUUGAGUUAAGCAAAAGGAGUCAGCGGGGAUCUAAGCCUCUCCAAAAGACGGACUUGAAAAGGAAAGCAAGGCUAGGGCUUAUAUAGGUUCGGCAGAGACAAUAGAGUAAUGACUAUUUAGUGGGCUUCUUUCAAGGGGUGAGUACUUCUCAGAAUGGCGGUGCAUGUUAAUUAGGUUGCCUGCGCAUCUGGAAUCCAAGCUGGAACCCACUGAUAUUCAAGAUGGAGUCCUCUUGGCAGCCCUUGGCAUCACUUAUUAUGGGAUAUAGCGCAAGCGCACUGAUCUUUAGCACUACAUCACCAUCUUUUGAGGGCUAAGGAAGAUUAACCAGCGGUCACCCUUUGUUCUUCUGCGCAUGUGGGAGCCUGUAAAGGGGGAAGGGACUAGAAAAGACACUAAGAAGAAGAUAGUAAUUCAGGAGUUGUUUCAGCCUUAUCUCAUGUUAACAAGGUGUGGUUCUUGUUUACCGAGCUUCUAGAUGGUAAUCUUUUAAUAGCUGUUUGUUUCUGCCAGCACAGUUAACCCUGUCUUAGAAAUAGCAAGAAAACUAGAAUUAGAAGUGGAGCCUGAAGCUGUGACUGAAUUGAUGCAAUCUCCUGAUAAAACUUUAAUGGAUGAGGAGUUGCUUCUUUUGGAUGAGCAAAGAAAGUGGUUUCUUGAGGUGGACUAUACUCCUGGUGAAGAUGUUGUGAACAUUGUUGAAACGACAACAAAGUAUUUAGAAUAUUACAUAAACUUAGUUGAUAAAGCAGUGGCAGGGUUUGAGAGGACUGACUCCAAUUUUGAAAGAAGUUCUACUGUGGGUAAAAUUCUAUCAAAUAGCAUUGUGUGCUACAGAGAAAUCUUUUGUGAAAGGAAGAGUCAAUCAAUGUGGGAAACUUCAUUGUUGUAUUCUUUUAAGAAAAUGCCACAGCCACCCCAACCUUCCACAGCCAUCACAUUGAGUCAUCAAUCGUCAACAUCAAGGCAAGACCUUCCGCCAGCAAAAAGAUUAGGACUUGCUGAAGGCUCAGAUGGUGACUAGCAUUGUUUGUUGUUGUUGUUAGGUGCCAUCGAGUCAGUUUCAACUCAUAGCAACCCUGUAUACCACAGAACAAAACACUGCCUGGUCCUGUGCCAUUCUUACAAUCAUUGUUACUCUUGAGCCCAUUGUUGCAGCCACUGUGUCAAUCCAUCUUGUUGAAGGUCUUCCUGUUUUCCGCUGACCCUAUACUUUACCAGGUAUGUAAGACGCAGUCUCGCCAUCCUUGCUUCUAAGGAGCAUUCUGGUUGUACUUCUUCCAAGGCAGAUUUGUUUGUUCUUUCAGCAGGCCAAGGUAUAUUCAGUAUUCUUCACCAACACCACAAUUCGAAGGCAUCAAUUCUUCUUUGGUCUUUCUUAUUCAUUUUCCAGCUUUCACAUGCAUAUGAUGCGAUUGAAAAUGCCAUGGCUUGGGUCAGGUGCAGCUUAGUCUUCAAGGUGACAUCUUUGCUUUUCAACACUUUAAAGAGGUCCUUUGCAGCAGAUUUGUCCAAGGCAAUGUGUCUUUUGAUUUCUUGAGUGCUGCUUCCAUGGCUGUUGAUUGGGGAUCCAAGUGAAAUGAAAUCCUGGACAACUUCAAUCUUUUCCCUGUUUAUCAUGAUGUGGCUUAUUGGUCCAGUUGUGAGGAUUUUUGUUUUUUUUAUCUUGAGGUGUAAUCCAUACUGAAAGCUGUGGUCUUUGAUCUUCAUCAGUAAGUGCUUCAAGCCCCUUAACUUUCAGCAAGCAAGGUUGUGUCAUCUGCAUCACACAUGUUGUUAAUGAGUCUUCCUCCAAUCCUGAUGUCCCGUUCUUUUUCAUAUAGUCCAGCUUCUCAGAUUAUUUGCUCAGCAUACAGACUGAAUAGGUAUGGUGAAAGGAUACAACCCUGACAUACACCUUUCUUGACUUCAUCCUCUCAGCAUCCCCUUUUUCUGUCCAAAAAACUUCCUCUUGAUCUAUGUACAGGUUCCUCACAAUUAAGUGCUCUGGAAUUUCCAUUCUUCACAAUGUUAUCCAUAAUCUGCUAUGAUCCACAUAGUUGAAUGCAUUUGCAUAGUCAUUGUUUAGCAUUAUUUAGCAAUAAAGUAUUGACUAAGGUGUGUACUUUUUUUUUAGACAUAAUACUAUUACACACUUAAUAGACUACAGUGUAGUGUAAACAUAACUUUUAUAUGCACUGAGAAACCAAAAACUUCAUGUGACUCGCUUUAUUGCGAUAUUCCCUUUAUUGCAGUGGCCUGGAAUUGUGCACACAACAUCUCCAAGUAUGCCUGUAAUGCUGGAUUGAAGCACAGUGAUUUAAAUAUUUAGUUUCUUCAUCUUUUCACAUAAAGAAAAACUGAGAGUCUUUUUCUUCUAACCUACGAGUAUUUAUUUAUUAAUUUUUUUAUUGUAAAAAUAUAGAAAACACAAACAACAUUUGCCAAUUCAAUAUUUUUCAUGUGUACGAUUCAAUAAAACCAAUUACAUCAAACAUUUUAUGCAGUCAUCACCAAUUUCAGUUGCCAAAAUUUCCCUCCUAUGGAUAUUUAUUUUUAAUUAGAGCAAGUUUCCUAGAGGUAGACAAUGAAUAUAUGACCAAAGUUAUCUAACCCAGGGAAAGAAGACUGAAAUAAAAUAUAAAAAAUAAUCCAAGGAUGAUAUGGAGUAUCAUUAUUGAAAGAAAUAUAUGCCCUGAGCCAAUAAAAAUGUACAGUGAGUCAUUUGUGGGAAAGAUUGCUUUCAAGUAUUUAGUAUGGAUUGUAAAUUCUAUGGAGAAAGGCAGAAUAGGCAAAAAUAUUUUUGGCUCAUGAAGUUUUUGCUAUUAUCGACAUAGUUGGUGCAUAUGCAUUUAUACAAUCUGAAAACCAGGGAUAGAAAUUAGCAUUAUUUAUUGUCUAUAACUGGAGGUUACAGUUCCAAACUAAAGACUACUUAUCUCUAGACUACUAUUCCGUAAUUCGAUUCCUUACAUGGUUACAGCAAAUUUAAAAACUGUCAAUUGAGGAUAUAAACUAAGUUAGCUACUAUAAGGUAUAUGUGUGGAAAAGAGUUAUUUACAUGCUUAUAAGGCCCUGUCAGGCCAGGGAAAGUACGUGAAAAGCCUCACAAUGAAUUGCUGCCUGUCAGAACCUUUGGAAAUGUUAAGUACCAUACAAGCGCACAGGAGGACUCCUGCUAACAUUGUUUUACUGUCCUACCAAAUAACUAUGGCAAUAUCAUGCCAUUCCCCUCACCCAGUUUAACAUAUCAUUUGCAUUUACAGUGUAAAGUUGUUAUUAAAGGCAGGAUAUUUUUGCAAGUGCAAAUGUUGUGUCUUCUCUUUUCUCUCUCUUAUAGUGGUACAGUAUUUAAGAACCUGCUGCUCAGCCACCUGUUCAUGUUCAUUAAUGGGAAAACUAUGUUCCUGUCAGCAGAUUUCUCUCCUCGGUUAUAAUGUUUGCAGAGGAAUAUUGCCCCCAACUCAUCUCGGAUGACUGGCUUCAGAAAGAGCACAGAGUUGGGCACCAAGAUCCCAGGACAUGUAUGUAGCACAGGAAAAGGGAAGAAGAAAAGGGAGGUGGUUAAAAACAAUUCCAAAGAACAAAAGAAACCAAGGACUGAGCAUUCACAGUGAAUUUUAACGUCUGAUGGUUCUCACGGAGUUUCACAUUUUGGGAAGAUUUCUCUUUCUCUCGAUACUUUGUGAAGAAGCUCUUAUUACAAAACAGUGAAGCAACCUUUGUUCCACAUUUUUCAAGUACCAUAAAGGAAUGAAAAAAAAAAUCUCAUUAAGCAGAUUUUUCUGGUUAAUAAAGUAUAUUUAUUUGAGCACUAUUUUAUGUUUAUGCAAGUGGCUCCAAUGCUUAUUUCAUGUUAAAGGGUGAAUCUACUCAGUCUGGAGAUACAGGAGAGAAAUAGACUCAAUGGCCAUUGUAAAAUGAUUAUUUCUGUGUUUCAUACCAUGCAAAUUACCAAUAGAAAUCGUAAGAUAUGUGUGCAGAUAAAGAUUUCUAUGUUUUUGAUAUUAAUCUGUUAAUUAGCAGCAAUACUCAUUGUGACUUCACAGUGAGCCGAGCCCUGGAUUGGAUGCUAAGGGUGAUGACCAGGUCUAGUUCACGGUUUGUCCCCUCUGUCCAUGUUCUGCCUAUAAAACCAGUUGUCAUCGAGUCAAUUCCGACUCAUGGUGACACCAUGUGUGUCAGGGUGGAACUGUGCUCCAUAAGGCUUUCAGUGACUGAUUUUUUAGAUAUCCCCAGGCCUUUCUUCUGAGGCAAAUCUGGGUGGACUCAAAUCUCUAACCUUUCUGUUAGCCUUCAAGUACUUUAACCAUUUGCACCACUCAAGGACUCCAUGCUUUGCCUGUAUAGGUGUUAAAUAAACAUCUGUCGUUAAGUAAAAUUGGAGCCAGCCUCUGCACACUGCCCCUGGCUGACAGAGAAACCACGAGAGAAAAACCAAGGAUGUUUAUCUGCAAGCCCAGGCUGCAGAGUCCAUAUAUCGGGGAUGUGUAAUAACUGCCUAGAAUCGGAGGGCUCAUUCCUGAGACACCUGUGUGUGAGUGAGCCUUGAACAGAGCAGGAUGAACUUCACAAGGCAAGUGUCUGAAGGCAAAAUAUGCCCUAGGUAGGUCCCUGUUUUAUAUUCUGUUUCCCCUCAUCCACCUUCGUGGUAUUGUUUUAGCUCUAAAACAUGCUCCUAAAUGAAGCUUCCCUCUUGUGCCCUUUAUACUGGCAAAUGGUGAUAUCAACUUUAAGAGCAUAAACAAGAAAAAAUCUUAGACAAAAUAAGUGCAACUUUAACAGGUGGAGUUUUCAGAUGAGAUCGCCAUCAUCCUUCCCUAGAGGAGAGUUUGUGACUUCAUGGGAGCAUCCGGAGGACAUUUCUCCUCCUGGGGAACAGCAUGUCUGAGGCAUGGAAACAAGAACAAGCAAAGUGUAACGUUUUUUGUAUCCUGGGAUGGAGACUACAUCUUGGAGGAAACAAAAAACCAGGAUGAGACUUCAAGACGCUGGGAGAAGACAUUGAAGGCUCCGCCAGAAGCUUUGAAAUGAGAGCGGAGAGGAGCAGCUACAGGCUGCUAGGGGUUAGAGUCUCUUCUCUUUAGUGUGUUGUAGAAGUGACUCAGCUCCCUAAAAGACCAUUCAAGAGUUCUUUCACCCCUUUUGUUUUGAGAGGAAAGAGCCUGUGAUAGAAGGUAGGUAGUGUGGAAUCUGGAUCAUAUUCCACUAUAUUUGAGCAAGUCUUUUAGAUUUGCUGGACUGACAAUAAUAGUCUACCUGACUAAAGGCAGGAGAUUGGAUGUGCCAUCCCCUGAGGCCCCUUCUAACUCUAAGACAAAUUGUUUCACGAAGAAAAUGGUGUGAGAGACAAUGCUCUCUAAAGGUUGUUCAUAAGGCAGGUGGGGAAAUGAAGGAAUGGAAUUGAUGUAUUUGUUGAGUAUCAACUGUGUGACAGCCAUUGUGCUAGGUGAACAUACACCCAUGAAAAUGUACAAAUGAACUUAUGUGAUCCAAUUGACAAUAGAAACUUGAAAGGAUAGAUGAGAAACUUAGAGGGGAGUGAGUUUGUGUUAACGACGGUGAAAUAAUUUGGGAAAAGCUGUGGAGAAAUGUAGCCAGUGUCACUGAAUUGUACGUAGAAAAAUUGUUGAAGUGUGCAUGUUUUGUUGUACUUUCACUAAAAUAAAUAAAUAACACUAUUAAAAAAUUUUUUUUUUUUUUUUUUUUACCAAUGAAUAAAAAGACAUAAGUCCUUCCCUCAAGGGUUUCUGGAAGGAUAGAGCAAUUCUUAAGAAAGUGGCCUUUGUCUACUUUCAGCUCCCUGCUUUGUUGCUUAUCAGCUGUAUGACUUUAAGCAAGUUACUUACAGG